rnacentral:tRNA from 1 species
UGCGGCUUAAUUCAAUGGUAGAAAUCUAUCGUUACAAGGUAGAAGUUGUUGGUUCGAUUCCAGCAGUCGCAA